CAAAUCUCUCUCAAAUCACACCCUGCUGUUUAAAACCAAAUGAAGGACACAUCAGCUAAUGUAGUCCUACAUACACUAUGCCUGAAACAAAAGUUAAACAAUAUAACCAAUGAGUAGUUGUUCAGAUUGCUAGAAAUAACAACCAAAUCUCUCUCAGAUCACAUCCUGCUCUUUUAAAACAAAAGAAGGACACGUCAGCUAAUGUAGUCCUACUUGAAACAAAUGUCUGUUUGCUCAGUAAAGAAUAGCAGCUCCGUGUUACAUAUUGUUAAUUAUGACAAUACAUUUUUGGUACAUUUAAAGCCAUGGUUUCUUGGCAAUCAGCCACAGAAAUAGCACAGCAGAGCAACUCUCAUACACACACUGCUCAUAUUCAAUACGUACACGAGAUGAAAGGCAAAGUCAACUCCAAUGGAAUUUGAACUCGGAACAUAAAGACGGACGAAAUGCCACUAAACAUUUUGGCAAACAUGCAAGUGAUUCUACCAGCUCAAUGCCUUGAAUACAGUGUCUGUUAACAACCUUCAUGUUGUACUGAAAGGGUCAAUGACACAACCAGGGCUUCUGGAAAAAAUAUGGCAAGGCAAAACAAAACUAUAGGAAUACCUCACUUUACAGAAGUAAUAUGUUCCUGAACAUCUGGUUGUAAUGCGAAAUCCUACAAUGUGAAUUCAUUUUCCAAUUGAUUUUCAUGCUACCAAGAGAGAUUGCAUUACCAUGGACUUUUUCAAAAACAAAAAGAAAAAAGAAAACCAAUAGCAACAUGAACACCUUUAUACAUAAAUAUAACAAUUUCCAAACAUAAAUAAUACAAUAUAGAUACAUAAAAACACAAAAAAUUUCAAGAGGAAUAAGUUAGGGAAUUUUGAACUAGUUGAUCACCCACAUUAUUCUCCUGAUUUUCCCUCCUCUGACUAUUAUCUCUUCCUCAACAUGAAAAAAUAUUUGGCUGGGAACCAUAUCGCUGUGAUGAUGACAUCAUAUCUGCUAUUGAUGACUUUUAUAACUAACAAGAUUAAAGCUUCUUCACCAAUGGGAUCCAAACACUGCAACACUGAUGGAAGAAGUAUGUGGACCACAAGGAGGACUACAUUGGUCACAUUUGAUGAGAGUAUUUUGGUCAACCUUUGAACUUUUCAGCCAACCCUCAUACAAGUAAUGUUGUUCUUCUCUAGUCUUCUUUGAAAAACAUGUCUAGCAAUGGAGGAAUAUUUCCAUGCUUGGAAAUGCAAAGGUUGAUGACAGGAAGGUCAUCCAGCCAUAAGAAAUCUACCUCAACAAAUUCCAGCUGACACAUGCAAGGAUGGAAAAGUGGAUCUUAAAAUGAUAAUGAUGAUAAUGAUAGCGAAAGUGAUGAUGAUGAUAAUGAAUUUCAUUUAGUAUUAAAUUUCCUUUCUGAAAAUUA